UCUGUGAGUUGACAGAUGCAAGAAAAUGUAUUAUCAGGUACAUAGAUGUUUCUCAAAUGCAGUUUAUUAAUUACUGUCAUUCAUCCAAAUAAUAGAGGCUUUUGUGGUAGUUCCUUUGCCGUUAGUAUGCAAGGCUAUUCUUUCCAUUUCUAUCUCAGCACCUUGACACAGUAAGAACUAGCAAGUUUAGAAUUAUCUUCAGGUGAAUUGCAACUUUUUGGGGAAAUUUCUGUAAAAAAAGUACCUAUAAUGCAUGAAAAACAUGGUAUCUUUUAUUAAUGCUUUCACAAAAAGAGUAAUUAACAUCUGUUACGACAAAGCUGUUAUGAAAAAACAUUACAGAAAAACAUUAAAACGACAAACUACUCUCUAGAAAAGUCACAGGUAAGUAUUAUAAAUGAAUUUCUUGUAUGUUACAAAACUUUCGGACUGUUUAUAUGGACAAAGUAAGUAUAUAUUUGUUUGCGAUGCUGAAGUCGAAAGAAGUUAGUGAAGUGAAAAAGAUAAAGCAGUAGAGGAAGACAUUAUUUUGACUUUUGAAAAAGUAGUGACAGAUGAAAAGGCAUAUGAGGCCAAGGGUUAAUUAAAAGAUUCCAACCGUAUCUAUAAGUUGAUCUGUGAAGAAGUUGAAUGGAUUCCCAUACAUUUGUGUAUUCGCAGCGAAUAAUUUCGUCGUAUUACUGGAAGGUGGGGAUUUUAUUUAUUGUUUUGCCAAAAGCACGCACACACAAGAGAGAGAUUUCUGCUUGAAUUAAAAAGCAACUUGGCUACCAUCUCUUACCAACACUUGCAUUUUUGUACUGAAGCUGUAUGCUUAAUACUGCCUCUGACACUGCUCUCCAUCCUUCUUACUGAGUUCAGUAAGCCCAGACCAAGCUAAAAGCGUGGGCUCCCUCUGCUGGCUCCGGUGGUGCUCCGAGCCCUUCUCAGGAUGCUCAGCAGGCGCUCUGCACAAAACGACUGGGAAGAAAUGAGCUGCAGCUUAUUUUAAACAAUUAAAGCGGGAGGUAAAAAUGUAAUCUAGCCCUUUAAAUGCAGCCGCUGCGUAAAACUUGCCUUUGAAAUGCCCAGACACUCUGAAAUAGUAAUAGUUUUAUGGCAAAACAGCAACCGACAGACCUCAAAAGAGGUUUUUACAUUCUGUGACUUCACACACCAAAAGAGAUUGGUGUAUGUAAAGAAGUGAGGAUGCAGUCCAACCGAUUCUAACUUGUGUAAAACUCACCAGAAAGCUAAUAUCCCAUCCUUAACUUAUUUUUAGCUAUUUCUAGACUCGGGGGCAUAACUUAUUUCAAGAGCCUUUGAUUUCUUUUCAAAUCCUCAACUGGAUAAGGCUCUGAGAAACCUGACCUGAAGCUGGUCCUGCCCUGAGCUGGAUGUUGAACCAGAUUUCUUCUGUAAGCCCUCCCCACUCCCAACAUACAUUGUUCUGUAUUUUUAUCCUAGAUGUGAGAGGAAGGUUAGAGUUACAACAAAGAGUUUGUAUAAUAUAGCCUUUAACCCAAUGUUCAUCUUGAAAAGCCCUUCAGUGUAGAAAGUAGCAUUCUACCUGCAUAAAGAGAGGGGCUUGGAUGCACUUUCUGCACAGUAACCCUUGCUUACCAGAAGGUCUUUGCAAGAGGAGAGGUAUAAUACAGGUGCAGAGGACCAGGCUGCAGAUUAGUGAGCUGCUUUGUCAUUAAGGAAAGUGCCUGCAUGUCCUCUGCACCAACUAGCAGCUAUUAAUAAAGCUGUGGAAAACUAUCUACAGUUCAUUUAAGAAGGAAUCCUAGACCCUGUGUUUUAGACUGAGGGUUCAGCAAAUAGUCUCUGGCAUUCCUGUACAAUGAGGAAAGGCUGCACAGACUGUAUGACAGUAAGGGAAUGUUUUUAACACCCUGUAUUGUGACCAACACUUACCACAGAGAUGCUUGCCACAACCAUUCGCUGCAUGGGAAAGAGGGUGGAUGAAUGUAAACUCUCCAUCCUUCCCAAAGUAUUGAACAGCAGUACGUAGGUUACAUGAAAGUUUACAGUGCCUGAGGGAAGCAAGGAAACAUACAAUAUUCAUGAGAGAGAGAGGCUUCUUUAGAAGAUGGUUCAGAACAAAAGCCAUAAUCUGGGUGUUCUUGAUUUUUUCCUCCAGUACAGUUUAUCUCCUAUCAACAACAACGGUAGCCUAACAAGUCUGUUCUUUGAAGGCUAAACUUAACUUCUCUCCCUUCCCUCACUUGGUGUCCAAUGUGAUUUUCUUGGUUCUUCAGGCCAUGGAAGGAAAUGGAUUUUGGGUCUUAUCUGAUGAGUUUGGAUUAUAUAUGAAAAAGUGGUGAGAUCAACUUGCCACAACAGGAUCCCUAUCACCCUGCCAUCAAUGUGUCAGAUGAAAAGUUUGUUUGGACCCGUGUUGUGAUUUCAGUUAAAGGUUUGUCUGCUGUAAUAAUGACAUAGGAGAAUGUUUGCUGAAAUGUGCUGUAUCCGAGUCUGUAGCUUGGGCCUUUGCAGUCAUCAGAACACCUAAAAAAGUUGACGACUGCUGAAGCUGCAUUGAAAUGAGGUACAUAAUUCACAAAGAAGAUGUCAGAAAAGCUAUUUUCCAGCAUUACCCACUUCAGGUACUGCCUAAAAUUCCUUUGGCAUGGCCCUGGCUGCCCUUGAAGUUGCCACCAGCCCCAUGCAGAAGUGCCCGAAGGUUGGGUGAGAGGACACUCUUCUCACUGGACUUCUGCCGGGUUGUGGGAGUGAGGAGCUUCUCCUUGAAAUGCCUCUCCCAUCCAAAGCCAACCUCCUAUUUGCACUCAGUGACCAGAUCCUGACCACCUGAUUGCUAAAGCAAUGUCAACAUUACCUUUUGCCUAACAGCAUCCAGCCAGAAAAUGAGAAGGAGAAACUCCAGGCUCUCUGCAGGCACUGCCUUUCCCUUCCCCUGGGAGCAUGGCAGCUCCUACUGCAGUGUAUGCUGAGAAGAGAGUCCUUGCAUUAAACCCAGAUGUCACUGCUGCUGGAAACACAAGAGUCUGCUGUCAAAGGCAAAGCAGAAAGUUCAACUUUGCCACUUACCAAAUGAGGGAGACCUGGGCUCCUGGAUCAGGAAAACACGCCCCUCUACCUAUUAAUGCUAGCUACAGAUCUAGCCUUGGAAUAACUGCUUUGUCUCAUGAAGGCAGAAAAAUAUUAAACUGUAUAAGAGUUGUGCAUCCAUUGCUCAGGAAAGUGCAGCUACCCUGUAAUCAGAAAUGUUUGGUAAGGGAAGUAAUACUUAUGCACCAUAUACUUUAAAAUAUCCAGUUAAUUCAAAUGCUGUUUGGAUUUAAGAGAAUGAGUAGGUUUCAAGGCUGCUCUUAUAUAGACAAGGUUUCCUUCUACAGAAUUCUGUUGUAUUGCAUGUAAAUUAACUUCAUUGUUUCAUGCAGUUUAGAAUGCUUUCCUUUCCCAUCAAACUUUCAAGAUGUUGAUGAUUCUGUUCAUCCCUUGUCUGGGCAAUAUGUUGAAAUUUCAGAAUGGUUGAAAGCUUAACUAUUGUUUUGACAUGAGUUGCUCUUUUUGAUCAUUUCUAAAUACAUCAUUUCAUUAAUAAAUGUGUAUUAUUUCAGCUAUACUGCCUUACAUUUUAAGAUUAAAGCUUUG